CAGUCGCCGCGGUAAUACGUAGGGCGCAAGCGUUGUCCGGAAUUAUUGGGCGUAAAGAGCUCGUAGGCGGUCUGUCGCGUCUGGUGUGAAAUCCCGAGGCUCAACCUCGGGCUUGCAUCGGGUACGGGCAGACUAGAGUGCGGUAGGGGAGACUGGAAUUCCUGGUGUAGCGGUGGAAUGCGCAGAUAUCAGGAGGAACACCGAUGGCGAAGGCAGGUCUCUGGGCCGCAACUGACGCUGAGGAGCGAAAGCAUGGGGAGCGAACAGGAUUAGAUACCCGCGUAGUCCCUGUCUCUUAUAC
rnacentral:rRNA from 1 species